GUUGAAUGAACACAUGGUUUAGAUUCUCCACCUAAGAAAACAACACCAUUACAAUGAUACACAAAAUAAACCCGAAAUCCUAAUCUGUCCGUAAGAACUACCAAUAGGAAUAAAUAACUAUAAUGAUUCAAAACCCGAAUACUUACCACUGAAUCCCUUGAGCAAAACUCUUAGAAAAUAUUCACAAGAUGAAACAAAGACACCGAUAAAUUAGUUGAUUGCGAAAGAAAGCCACAAAUCAAGAGAAAGAAAAGAAGAAAAAUAUGGAGAAAAAGAAAGAACAAAAGAAAAACGUGAGAAAAAAAAAGCAAAAGGGAUGAUGCAAGUCAAAAUUUAAGGAAAUAUUUUAGGAAAUUCAAAAAAAUAAAAUUAACAACCCAAUAUACCCUACCACUAACUUAACUGCUCACAAAAUCCCUUAAUAGUAGGUACCCUAAAACCACCUAACAACCAAAA
rnacentral:lncRNA from 1 species